rnacentral:rRNA from 1 species
GAUGAACGCUGGCGGCGUGCCUAAUACAUGCAAGUCGAGCGAACGGACGAGAAGCUUGCUUCUCUGAUGUUAGCGGCGGACGGGUGAGUAACACGUGGAUAACCUACCUAUAAGACUGGGAUAACUUCGGGAAACCGGAGCUAAUACCGGAUAAUAUUUUGAACCGCAUGGUUCAAAAGUGAAAGACGGUCUUGCUGUCACUUAUAGAUGGAUCCGCGCUGCAUUAGCUAGUUGGUAAGGUAACGGCUUACCAAGGCAACGAUGCAUAGCCGACCUGAGAGGGUGAUCGGCCACACUGGAACUGAGACAAGGUCCAGACUCCUACGGGAGGCAGCAGUAGGGAAUCUUCCGCCAUGGGCGAAAGCCUGACGGAGCAACGCCGCGUGAGUGAUGAAGGUCUUCGGAUCGUAAAACUCUGUUAUUAGGGAAGAACAUAUGUGUAAGUAACUGUGCACAUCUUGACGGUACCUAAUCAGAAAGCCACGGCUAACUACGUG